rnacentral:rRNA from 1 species
UACGAAGGGAGCUAGCGUUGUUCGGAUAUACUGGGCGUAAAGCGCACGUAGGCGGCGCCGUAAGUCAGGGGUGAAAUCCCGGAGCUCAACUCCGGAGCUGCCUUUGAAACUGCGGGGCUAGAAUCCUGGAGAGGCGAGUGGAAUUCCGAGUGUAGAGGUGAAAUUCGUAGAUAUUCGGAAGAACACCAGUGGCGAAGGCGACUCGCUGGACAGGUAUUGACGCUGAGGUGCGAAAGCGUGGGGAGCAAACAGG